rnacentral:rRNA from 1 species
UAGUCCACGCCGUAAACGAUGAGCACUAGUUUUUGGAGGUCUAACCCCUUCAGAGACGCAGCUAACGCAUUAAGUGCUCCGCCUGGGGAGUACGGUCGCAAGACUAAAACUCAAAGGAAUUGACGGGGGCCCGCACAAGCGGUGGAUUAUGUGGUUUAAUUCGAAGCUACGCGAAAAACCUUACCUAGGCUUGAAAUCCCGCGAAGACAUUGUAAUGAUGUUGUGCUCUUCGGAGAACGCGGUGACAGGUGCUGCAUGGCUGUCGUCAGCUCGUGUUGUGAAAUGUUGGGUUAAGUCUCGCAACGAGCGCAACCCCUAUCUUUAGUUGCCAGCAUUAAGUUGGGCACUCUAGAGAGACUGCCUGGGUUAACCAGGAGGAAGGUGGGGAUGACGUCAAGUCCUCAUGGCCCUUAUGCCUAGGGCUACACACGUAAUACAAUGGAAUAUACAAUGGGAAGCGACCUGGUGACAGUGAGCCAAUCUCAAAAAGUAUUCUCAGUCCGGAUUG